rnacentral:rRNA from 1 species
CGGCAACAGCUCAAAUUUGAAAUCUGGCGUCUUCGACGUCCGAGUUGUAAUUUGUAGAGGAUACUUUUGAUGCGGUGCCUCCCGAGUUCCCUGGAACGGGACGCCAUAGAGGGUGAGAGCCCCGUCUGGUUGGAUGCCAAAUCUCUGUAAAGUUCCUUCG